AACUCACCUAUCUUGUAUAUUUUGACGUGUAGAAGCCGAAUCUGAAAGUUAAAAUGGUUGCUCGACUCUGCCGAGAGAAAUAAAUUGUUAAAAAAUGACACACGCAAAGUUAGGAAAUCUGUCAUACCAGUAAUACAGAGACUUAUAGUCUGUUCUUUUUAAUCGAUAAUUUUUGAAACGCUCAACAAUAUAUAAUAAAGAUGCAAUAAGUUGGGUUAGGUUAGGAUUUCUUUGAAGAGGGGAUGUGGGGAAGAGGCUCCGCUUAUAUGUACUAUCUUACUUUUCGACUACUUUUCGACUAAAAAGAACAAUAAGUCUCUGUAUUACCAGCAUGACACAUUUCUUAACCUCGCGUGUGUCAUUUUUUAACAAUUUAUUUCUUUCGGCAGAGCCGAACGACGAUUUUAACUUUCAGAUGCGACUUCUACACGUCAAAAUAGCUUCUACACGACAAGAUAACAUUUAAUUGCUUAAUAAACAGCACAAGAAAAACGGAGCAUGUAUAAGGAGAAAGGGAAAAGGAA